GAAGGAGCAGGCGCGCAAUUACCCAAUCCUGACUCAGGGAGGUAGUGACAAGAAAUAACAAUAAACCGGCUUAUGCCGGUUUAAUUGGAAUGAGUACAAUUUAAACAUCUUAACGAGGAACAAUUGGAGGGCAAGUCUGGUGCCAGCAGCCGCGGUAAUUCCAGCUCCAAUAGCGUAUACUAAAGUUGUUGCAGUUAAAAAGCUCGUAGUUGGAUUUCUGUGGGGACGGAGCGGCCGGCCGCAACACGCGGUUCGAGCUAGCGCUUUCCCUACAUCCUGCCGCGAACCGUGCUACCAUUAGUUUGGUGGCGCCGGGGAUCGGCUCGAUUACUUUGAGAAAAAUAGAGUGUUCAAAGCAGGCCAUACGCCUUGAAUAAGUUAGCAUGGAAUAAUAACUAAGGACUUCGGUUCUAUUUUGUUGGUGUUCGGGACUGAAGUAAUGAUUGAUAGGGACAGUUGGGGCGGUCUGUAUUCCAAAGCGAGAGGUGAAAUUCUUAGACCUUCGGAAGACAAACAGCUGCGAAAGCGUUCCGCAAGGAUGUUCCCUUUGAUCAAGAACGAAAGUUGGGGGAUCGAAGACGAUCAGAUACCGUCGUAGUCUCAACUAUAAACUAUACCAGCUAGGGAUCGGCCAACGUUAUUCUAUACCGACUUGGUCGGCACCUUAUGAGAAAUCAAAGCAUCUGGGUUCCGGGGGGAGUAUGGUCGCAAGGCUGAAACUUAAAGGAAUUGACGGAAGGGCACCACUAGCCGUGGAGCCUGUGGCUUAAUUUGACUCAACACGGGAAAACUUACCAGGUCCAGACAUAGUAAGGAUUGACAGAUUGAUAGCUCUUUCUUGAUUCUGUGGGUGGUGGUGCAUGGCCGUUCUUAGUUGGUGGAGUGAUUUGUCUGGUUAAUUCCGUUAACGAACGAGACCCCAGCCUGCUAAAUAGCGCGCGUGAGCUUUGCUCGCGGCGAGCUUCUUAGAGGGACUAUGAUGCGCGAUAGCACAUGGAAGUUUGGGGCAAUAACAGGUCUGUGAUGCCCUUAGAUGUUCUGGGCCGCACACGGGCUACACUGGCGCCUGCAACGAGCAUAUCAGCUGGCCCGAGAGGGUCUUGGCUAAUCUUUUGAACCGGCGCCGUGCUUGGGAUUGACCUUUGCAAUUGUUGGUCAUGCAACGAGGAAUGCCUUGUAAACGCGAGUCAUCAGCUCGCAUUGAAUACGUCCCUGCCCUUUGUACACACCGCCCGUCGCUCCUACCGAUGAAUGUUCCGAUGAAAUUUUCGGAGAGCACCUGUGAACUUGGCUCCGCCUUGCGAACGGGAGGCUCAAAGUCACAUAAAUCUGAACAUUUGGG
rnacentral:rRNA from 1 species